AUUGAACGCUGGCGGCAGGCUUAACACAUGCAAGUCGAACGAGUGGCGGACGGGUGAGUAAUGCUUGGGAAUCUAGCUUAUGGAGGGGGAUAACUACGGGAAACUGUAGCUAAUACCGCGUACCAUCAGAUGAACCCAUAUGGGAUUAGCUGGUAGGUAAGGUAACGGCUUACCUAGGCGACGAUCCCUAGCUGGUCUGAGAGGAUGAUCAGCCACACUGGGACUGAGACACGGCCCAGACUCCUACGGGAGGCAGCAGUGGGGAAUAUUGCACAAUGGGCGCAAGCCUGAUACAGCCAUGCCGCGUGUAUGAAGAAGGCCUUAGGGUUGUAAAGUACUUUCAGCGGGGAGGCGUUACCCGCAGAAGAAGCACCGGCUAACUCCGUGCCAGCCGCCGCGGUAAUAC
rnacentral:rRNA from 1 species